GUUCGGAUUGCAGGCUGCAACCCGCCUGCACGAAGUCGGAAUUGCUAGUAAUCGUAGGUCAGCAUACUACGGUGAAUACGUUCCCGGGCCUUGUACACACCGCCCGUCAAACCAUGAGAGUUGGCAACACCCGAAGUCGGUAGUCUAACCGCAAGGAGGACGCCGCCGAAGGUGGGGUCGAUGAUUAGGGUUAAGUCGUAACAAGGUAGC
rnacentral:rRNA from 1 species